AAUGGGAGAACGACAAAUCAGAUUUUUGCUCUCUUGAUUUUCAAUUUUUUUCUUUUGACAAAAUUCAAAUCUAACUAAAAAUGCUGAAAAUCAAAAGGAAAAAUCUAAUUUGUUAUUCUUCCAUU
rfam:Gossypium arboreum cultivar AKA8401 contig_4426_7, whole genome shotgun sequence.